AGUCAGAAGACAGCCUCCGGGGUGCUUGCUAGAAGACCCUCAAGCUCCUGGCCCAGACAGCUGGAAGGAAGGCCGGGCUUUGCUCUGGAGGACCACUGGGCUGGCGAGGAACAUUCGAUGAGGAUUGGGGAGAUGAAGUGAUUUGUGAUAUUUUGUAUACGACUAGAGCGACAUACUAAAACACACGCAAGAUCUGUCUUGAAAAAUGCUGGUAAGCAAAACAAACAUUCAAACUCCAAUUUGCACCACCAGGAUGAUCCCUGUUAAAAUUUUUGAUUUGUGAAGGGAGGCAAAACUGCCACUUUGCCCUGCUUUCGUAAACCUUAGCAAACUAACAUCAUAUUGGAAUUUAAUUUAUAUCAUUUAUAAUGAACCAGAAAUAGGAAGUAAUGAGAAAUAAGAUCAGGUGGGAAAAAGCCUUUGCAUCCUGAGGCAAACCAAAUGUAAAAGGGUCACUGUAUCUAUUUUUUUUUCCUGAGAAAAUAAAACUUUGCAUAUUUCCUGUUA
rnacentral:lncRNA from 10 species